AGUGUACCUGACUUCUUUUUUUAGUCAUUGGGCGUACCUGACUUUGACACUCUACUUCGCAAACUCUGGCCAACGCUGGCUCCAUAUUUUAGCUUAAUUUCUAUAGAAUGGAGCCAAGUCAUGCACCUCUAUAUACAGUUGAUGGUUUCUGCGAACAGCAACGUUGUGUUCCCUGGUGUUUGUCUCUGGAGAGUGGCUGAAACCAAGCAACACAAAGGACAAGACAGGACACAAAGGACAAGAAUCAGUUAAAUGCUAAAAACCCCUAAAAGUUGAGAAAUAGGCCUACACCAUCUUUACACAUUAUAAACAAUCUUUUUAACAUUUUAAGGAUAUGUACCUAUGAAUUAGCCUAUAUUUACAAUGUUGCAGUAGGCUAAAGGGUAUAGGCUAGGUACUAUGUUUCUGUAUGUUUCUGGGAUCAGCAAGUUGAGAGCAAUUGAGGCCUGCUGCAAAAAAAGGACAUUUUAAAAAGAUAUUCUAAAUCUACAGUUAAUUAAAUGUUUAAGGUAUCAUCAUAAAAUCAAGUUUGGAGAAAAAUCAACCUCUGACCUCGUAAUUUGUAAAUUGAAGUUACUGCACAGCAACCGAUACUUCCUGUCAUUCAAUCGUUAUGGAAGUUUGCACAAAGGUAAAAGAAUGAUUAAUGAAUGGACAAUUUAUUUUAAGGUAUAGAAAUAGAAUAUAAAAAAUGUUCUAUUCACUGAAAUUCUAUUGAAGUUGUAGCCUACUUCAUAGGGAUACUGAAUGUCUAUACAUGAAUUUAAAUCUAGACUGAAUGUCUAUACAUGAAUUUAAAUAAAAAAAAAAACAUUUCGAUUUCCUGAAACGUGCACAAACACUUCAGCCAAUUUAGCAGCGUGAUUUUGACCAUGUGAUGUAAAUGGUCCAAUCCCGGGAAGAAUUUAGGUCCCUGACAACGGUAUGUGUAAUUUGUUUACUAUUUGUAUACCCUAAAAAUCUCCCGUUGGCAAAACAACUGAAUAUGAAUAUUCAUAUUAAUGCCAUGAUUGUAAGGGGAAGCUUAAUGGGAGAUGGGGAGGCUGCAGGUGUUUCUCGCCUCCCCCGCUCUCUCCUGAGGGUCUUGACUUCAUGCCCAAGUGUUGAUAUCUCCCCUCUCAUCUGACUAAAUCUUACAAGAUUUGUUAUUCAUUUAUUCAACCUGGUAGCGUUGCCAUUCUUUAAUAUAUCCAACUGGUACUGGGGGACUAAAAACAUUUUCUCUGCAUACUCAAUCAAAUCUAGCUGUGUCUUGAUGCUAUUAGACUACAUAUAAAUGAAACAGCCACACUUAAGAGAUGGAGAAGAAACCCCCCUUUUGAAUAAUAGUACACUUCUUCCUAUACGCACACUGAUCUUUUUAUCUGUAAUAAACAUUCUCUUUUCUUUUACAACUUUUUAUAGUGUGAUUUUGUAAGAUGUAUGAUAUCAUGGAGAAUGUUUGAAAGCCACUUCACAGAGGGUGAAGAUUAAUUUGUUUGACGCUGUCGGCAAAAUGACGCGUCUCGUGAUGGUUUCUUUUAAGUACGAAGAUCGAUGGAAUUUCAGUUUUACAGACGGUGAUAAAGUGGAAGAAGGCAAAGAUAGAGCUCUGCGUGAAUGUGGCAGUGUAAGGCGUGUUCAACAUCUUGUUCAACGUGACCCAAAAUGCUGAUAGAUGAGGAAACAUCGCUACUGUCUACAUUUACCUCUGUUUCCCCUCCCCUUCUGCCACACGCCCCCCCUUCCUAUCUCUACCCAGCCGACCUCAAGCAGAUGGGU